UACGUAGGUGGCAAGCGUUAUCCGGAUUUACUGGGUGUAAAGGGCGUGUAGGCGGGAGAGCAAGUCAGACGUGAAAUUCCAGGGCUCAACCCUGGAACUGCGUUUGAAACUGUUCUUCUUGAGUGAUGGAGAGGCAGGCGGAAUUCCGUGUGUAGCGGUGAAAUGCGUAGAUAUACGGAGGAACACCAGUGGCGAAGGCGGCCUGCUGGACAUUAACUGACGCUGAGGCUCGAAAGCGUGGGGAGCAAACAGG
rnacentral:rRNA from 1 species